rnacentral:rRNA from 1 species
CCUACGGGAGGCAGCAGUGGGGAAUUUUGGACAAUGGGCGCAAGCCUGAUCCAGCCAUGCCGCGUGAGUGAAGAAGGCCUUCGGGUUGUAAAGCUCUUUCGGCGGGGAAGAAAAGGUUCGUGCUAAUACCACGAACUAAUGACGGUACCCGAAGAAGAAGCACCGGCUAACUACGUGCCAGCAGCCGCGGUAAUACGUAGGGUGCAGGCGUUAAUCGGAAUUACUGGGCGUAAAGCGUGCGCAGGCGGUUUGUUAAGACAGAUGUGAAAUCCCCGGGCUUAACCUGGGAACUGCGUUUGUAACUGGCAAGCUAGAGUGUGGCAGAGGGGGGUGGAAUUCCAAGUGUAGCAGUGAAAUGCGUAGAUAUUUGGAGGAACACCGAUGGCGAAGGCAGCCCCCUGGGCUAACACUGACGCUCAUGCACGAAAGCGUGGGGAGCAAACAGGAUUAGAUACCCUGGUAGUCCACGCCCUAAACUAUGUCAACUGGUUGUCGGGGAAGCAAUUCCUUGGUAACGAAGCUAACGCGUGAAGUUGACCGCCUGGGGAGUACGGCCGCAAGGUUAAACUCAAAGGAUUGACG